CCUGACACCAACUCCAUCCUCUCCUGGACCAGGUUAUGUGCCCUUCUUCGUGUCCCCAUAGCCCCCUGCAGGUUUACUUCAUGGACUGCAAUGACUGACACUUGCCUUUCUCCAACCUCUAGACUGAGUACAGCUUGACAACAAGGUCGUAUCUGCCUCGUCCAUUGUUGCACCUGGAACUGUGGCUGGCUCAUCAUUGGCACUCAAUGACUAGUGGGAUCCAGGUUUCUUCUGGAAAUCUCUCCUGUCCUGUUCUUCGUGAUCUGACAGGACCAUGAAUCCUGUGUUCUGUGCCUCACCCAAGGUGAACCAAUCGAUCAUUCUUCCUGAAGAAGCAGACUGUGAGGUUGGACUAGGACCCCUGGUUCUGCUCUUCCUGGAGCCUGGCAAGGAAACCCCUCUCGAACCCUGGAACCACCAUGUGAACAAGCCCAAGCUAGCCUGCUGGAGGAUGAGAGCCAGGUGACCCAGACCUCCCUGUCACCGUAAAUGACCACCAUCCAGACCAGCCAGCCCCCGGCUAGUCUACUGAUCAGAUGAACUAGCCAACUACCCACAGACUAAUGAAAAAGAAUAAA